rnacentral:rRNA from 1 species
AUUGAACGCUGGCGGCAGGCCUAACACAUGCAAGUCGAGCGCGAAAGUUCUUCGGAAUGAGUAAAGCGGCGGACGGGUGAGUAAUACAUGGGAAUCUGCCUGGUAGUGGGGGACAACGUUUCGAAAGGAACGCUAAUACCGCAUACGUCCUACGGGAGAAAGCAGGGGACCUUCGGGCCUUGCGCUAAUAGAUGAGCCUA